rnacentral:lncRNA from 1 species
AAAUGUUAUCUUUUGAAUGAGUUUUCCACCUUACAAUGUUUUUGAAAUGGGGCUUUUAUUUUGAAGGUUUCUUUAUUACCGUAUCUGAGUGACGCCAUCUUCAGUGCUGCUAGCGAAUAGUAGCACGCAGAGGAGUGAAAGAUUAGUCUACGCAGAAGCACUGACAGAACUGUUCAAAUACCGAAGGAUGUUUUUUGUUGUUUUUUUGUCCCCGCACUCGACAGCAACAUACGAGCGGAUUAUGAUUGUCAAGAACUUGAAGAAACGUGAGAGAAGAUAAAGGACCUAACGUUGAUCCUUGGAUAAAGGCAUAUCAUCCAGUAGUCGCCUACCUAGCUACCAACGGGAAAAGUUGACUCCUCCGUGCUACUGCAGGGUAAGAUGAAGGGAAUGGGCUCAUAGAUCUGGUGGCCAGUGCUGGCUCUCAGGUGGUCGUCACCAUGGAGCACUCAGCUAAGCAGUUCUUCUUGGCCGUGGAGAUGACGGCAACUCAUUCCAGUAACCGUUCCUGCAAGCUGAAUUUAAAUAAUUGUUCAUUAUUUUUGCCAUCUUUCAGGCCAUCCAGUUAUGUAUAUAGUGAAAUCAAACUGAUCUUUCUUUGUUUUAAUUUUUAAUAUUUGUUGUUGACAGUUCAUAAUCACACUUAAAUGUACGCUAUAUUUCUCCAAUUCAAAUAUGUCUAUUAUUGUACAGUAUAAUAAUUAAUUAAUUAUAGUAAUGAUUAUUUAAUGCAAACAAUACCAGCAGUUUUAAAAAUAAUAAAUGGAGCUGAGUGUUGGUGUUUUUCUCUCAUGCCUCUCAAUGGAAUUAGAUUAAAACCGAACAAAACUUUGAAUGUUGAUCUUUUGAAUGUUGUUUUCUCAAUUUUAAAUGAAUUAAAUGUUAAAAUCUCAUAACUCAGGCUCUGCUAAAGGUAUCUCAGUGAUUUAAAAAUUAUCUGGAUUUGGGACCAUUUGUCGCUUUCAGAACUACACAAAAAAAU